rnacentral:rRNA from 1 species
GAUGAACGCUGGCGGCGUGCCUAAUACAUGCAAGUCGAGCGAACGGACGAGAAGCUUGCUUCUCUGAUGUUAGCGGCGGACGGGUGAGUAACACGUGGAUAACCUACCUAUAAGACUGGGAUAACUUCGGGAAACCGUAGCUAAUACCGGAUAAUAUUUUGAACCGCAUGGUUCAAAAGUGAAAGACGGUCUUGCUGUCACUUAUAGAUGGAUCCGCGCUGCAUUAGCUAGUUGGUAAGGUAGCGGCUUACCAAGGCAACGAUGCAUAGCCGACCUGAGAGGGUGAUCGGCCACACUGGAACUGAGACACGGUCCAGGCUCCUACGGGAGGCAGCAGUAGGGAAUCUUCCGCAAUGGGCGAAAGCCUGACGGAGCAACGCCGCGUGAGUGAUGAAGGUCUUCGGAUCGUAAAACUCUGUUAUUAGGGAAGAACAUAUGUGUAAGUAACUGUGCACAUCUUGACGGUACCUAAUCAGAAAGCCACGGCUAACUACGUG